AUGGACCUCCUCCAAAACGCGGAGGUGGACCUCGGAGCUCCGCCUCUAGACCCCUUUAGGGUUGGAGACAACUUGGAGGAAAAGGAGGAAGAUGAGGAGGAUGAAGGGGAUGACGAGGAGGAGGUGGCCGAGAUAGGGGUGGAGGCAUUCACCGCCGCUUCCCGCCCACACGCUCGGUCGACAAACUACACCGAGGCGGAAGAUGUCCUCUUGGUUCGUGCUUGGGCAGCUGUGGGAAUGGAUGCUACCACCGGCACCGAUCAAACCGGUAAACUCUAUUGGCAAAGGAUCGAGGACGUCUAUUGUAGGAUCAAGCCGAAGAAUAGUGGGUUCAUCCAUCGCACAUUCCGGUCGCUUCAAGGCCGUUGGGAGUUGAUCAAGCCCGCUUGUUCUCGUUGGAGUGCGGCCAUGGACCAAGUGAGGGAUGCACCACCUAGUGGAACCGUGGAGAGUGACUAUGAGACAAUUGCCGGCUUGAGGUGCAAGGAGAUGGCCGCUUCCAAGGGCAAGUCAUUCCCAUUUAAGCAUGUUUGGUCAAUUCUUCAAACCUUUGACAAGUGGAAGUUGAGGGAUCAAGAGACCGCACCCAAGAAGUCGACAAUGCUAAGGAUGGACGAUAGUGAAGAUGAGGAGGAGAGGAACGUGGGCAAGCCCGAGGGAAACAAGAAGGGCAAGCUAAGGGUGAAGAUGGAAGAAGAGGCGUCAAGCCUAAGGGAGAAGAUGGACCACAUGAUAAAGGCAAGAGAGGAAUUGACAACGAAGACAUUGGAGAUGAAGCUUCUUAUCACCGAGAAGAAGAAAGAGGUCAAGCUUGCACAAGUUGAAGCAAAACGUGAAGAAGCAAAGCGCAAGGCCGAGUUGGAGGAGAGGAUGAUCAAGCUCAAAGAGGCAAAGGCGCCGAGGUGCAACUUUUGGUGA
rnacentral:rRNA from 1 species